AGAACAUGGAAUUUUUAUCUAGUGUUGCUGAAUUUGAGUUGCCCUGUGUAAUUCUCCAGUCCUGCCUGGCCCUGCAGCACUCAAUUCUAAGAACUAGAAUGUCUACUAUUUAGAGAUCUACAUCUGUGAAGACUUUGUCAUCCUCUUGUGGAGGACAGAAGACGUGACAGUCUGAGCAGUCUCAAGUCUAUGACACUGUGAUGCCCUGCAGUGAUACACCAAAACCUGGAAUUCUGGGCCAAAAUAAAUUCUUUCUCUCCGACA